UACAGAGGGUGCGAGCGUUGUUCGGAAUUACUGGGCGUAAAGCGCAUGUAGGCGGCAACGCAAGUCGGGCGUGAAAUCCCACGGCUCAACCGUGGAAGUGCACUCGAAACUGCGUAGCUAGAGUCCUGGAGAGGAAGGUGGAAUGCUUGGUGUAGAGGUGAAAUUCGUAGAUAUCAAGCGGAACACCGGUGGCGAAGGCGGCCUUCUGGACAGUGACUGACGCUGAGAUGCGAAAGCGUGGGGAGCAAACAGG
rnacentral:rRNA from 1 species